rnacentral:lncRNA from 1 species
GAUUAGGAUUUGAUUAGAGUUUGAUUUAGGGUUUAAGAUUUAGUUAGGAUUUAGUUUAGGAUUUAGGAUUUAGUUAGGAUUUGAUUUAGGAUUUAGGAUUUGGAUUAGGAUUUAGUUAGGAUUUGAUUUAGGGUUUAGGAUUUGGAUUAAAAUUUGGUUUAGGGUUUAAGAUUUAGAUUAAGAUUUGAUUAGGACUUGAUUUAGGAUUUAAGAUUUGGUUUAGGCUUUAGUUAGGAUUUGGUUUAGGAUUUGGUUGGGAUUUAGUUUAAGGUUUAUUUAGGGUUUGAUUCAGGGUUUAGGAUUUUAUUAGGAUUUAAGAUUCAAUUAGUUUUGGCCUAAAGUUUGAAUGAAGUUCAAUAGGAUUUUAACUAGAAUAAAAUUAAGAUUGAAUUGAGAUGUAUUUGAGUGAUAUUUGUGAUCCUUUUAAUAUUUCUUUAAGAAUUCUUAUUUUUUGUUUGAAAUUUCUUUGAGGUUUUUUUUGAAUUUGAUUAAGCUUGCUUGACAUUAUUAUGGUCUAAUUAGAGCAUUUUUAGUAUUCUAUUA